CUCAGACGUAGCAGCCGUACCUGCUGCAGCUUCAGCACAUAAGUUGGAAGGAACAAGUAGUUUGAAGCAAUCCGGAACAACAGGCUCUCAAGGAAGUGGUCCUAAUGGGGACAACAACGGUCAUUCUUCAUCAACUAGACGACAGUCCAAAGAGAUAUUCCCCGAGCCAUUGGAGGAGCAGGAUGUAGAGAGAGGACCACAGGCGGAGUAGAGAGGAGGG
rnacentral:misc_RNA from 1 species